rnacentral:tRNA from 1 species
AUAUAGCUCAGUAGGUAGAGCACUUCCUUGGUAAGGAAGAGGUCACCGGUUCAAAUCCGGUUAUGG